GCCUCGACAGCUCUGUAGGGAGAGCGUUAGACUGAAGAUCUAAAUAUCGCAGGUUCGAUCCCUGGUCGAGGCA
rnacentral:tRNA from 1 species